rnacentral:misc_RNA from 1 species
UUAAGUUCAGCGGGUAGUCCUACCUGAUUUGAGAUCAAACAUUCAAAAGAGCUGUCCUCACUGAAGAAAGACAUUUGUGAGCCCCAGUGAACCCCCAUUACUGAAGGUUGCCUGGUGGAGAACCUCAAGCGUAGAUCGUUAUCACACCUGUGGUGCCACCAAACACUGGUAAGCUGAUUCAUUUGAGAGGAGCUGACCGA